GUGGGCGCGGCACCUGGGCCCGGGCACCGCCACCUAGGCCCUAGCUCCGACCAGUGGUGUUCUAUAAACGCUUAUUACAUCAUUGUGCAUAGGCUUCAUUUUUAAAAGUACUCCCAAAUAAAUACAAGGAGGCGAUGGAAAUUGAAUGAAGAUUCGAAGGAUUCCCAUAGAGCGUGGCUCACUUCCCCUCACCGGGACAGCGAGCGGCGGCUCACCUGGGAGAGCAAAGCGUGGCUCUCCUGCGCCCACCCGGGAGAGCAAACAAUGGCUCACCUGCGCCCACUCGGGAAAGCCAGCCGCCAUCCUGUGCUGCAGGCAGGGAGCGGGCGGCGGGAGAGGAGCGGAUCCACUUAGGUCAGCGGUUAAAACGUCGUUACAAGAGGCCACCCCGGCAUCGCGGGGCCUGUGGCUGCGCCCCCUCUUGAAUUCAGGCCUAGCACAUCACCUCCGCCCCUCGCACCCUGCAGUCUGCGCUCCAUACAGCACGUGAGCGGGUGCUCAGCAAUGUUCCCUGGCUGAAAGAACCGCAUAGAGUAGCAUGCAAAAAUGACAUGCAUGUUUAAGAUAAAAUAAGGGAGAGGACACCUGUUCUGACUGAGUCUGGCAACUCAGAUCUCCCCGCAGCCAACAUCUACAUUCCUUUGGACAGCUGUCUGCUGUGUAGGGACACCUCCCUGGAACUUUGAAAAGCACCCCAUCAUUACCUUCCACUUUGUUCUGGAGCAAGGUUUCAAAAGAAGAGUGCCGUAUUUUGAUUAAUUUAGUGAAUUGGAUUUUCAGACACAAGUAAGAGCAUCCACUCAGUGGCCUCUGCAGUAAAUAAUGAUAUCAGAUCACAUAACAAGAAGACUGGAGGUUGGCGGGAAAUCUGGACCUGGUGACUCAAAGAAGUCAUGAAGGACCAUCUCUCCAUUCUGCCACCUUCUCGCCUGUGGAUUUUCCUCCCCAGGCUUGUCACUUCAUUGUCGAGAGAUGCCCUCACAAUCCAAGCCAGGCAGCCUCACAUGACCAGAUCUAAAACACAAAGAGGGAGCCAAACUGAGAAAGGACCUUUUCCCUCUGAACACUUCUCUCUUGGAAAAAGAAAAUGUUUCCCAGAAAGCCUCAUAGCCUUCCUCUUAUAUCUCCUUGACUAACUGGGACCCGGAUCCCUGGAUAUCCUUUCCUGAGAAAGAGAGGGUCUGGGGCAGGGGAUAGAGAAAAUGACUAGCAACUAGCAGCACAUGAUGUUUAAACAUAAGAUUUAAAGAAAUGCAAGGCACAAACAAUUUGAAGACUUUUUUUAAGUUUUUAAAAUCUUCACAAAAUAAAAAGGAAUUGGACAAUGCACUUUAAAAACUAGAAGACGUUUCACUGAAAACAGCAUCUCCUAAUUCAUUUCAUGGCUUAGAUAGUAAUAGAAAAUUAUUUUAUUCUAAUUCCAUACUUUAUCAACUAAUUUUAAUUAUUUUAUAAUUACCCAAAAUAUGUCAUGUAGAAUGAAAAUAAAAGAAAAUGAAAACAGUUAUAUCAAGGCCAAGUCAGUUGUAUGUUUACUGGCUAUUUAGAAAUUUCUAAAUACGUGUAUAUUUAGAAAUGACUAUAUAGAUACUAUUUGGGUAAUGUUAGGGAUGGAAAGUUUAUGUCCCCCCAAAAUUUGUAUGUUGAAAUCCUAAGCCCAAUGUGAUGGUUUUAAGGGGCGGGGCCUUUGUGAGGUGAUUAGGUCAUGAGAGUGGAGACUUCAUGGAUGAGAAUAGUAAGUAUCCUUAUAAAAGAGACUCCAGAGGCUGGGUGCAGUGUCUCAUGCCUGUAAUCCCAGCACUUUGGGAGGCCGAGGCAGGUGGAUCGCCUGGGGUCAGGAGUUCGAGACCAGCCUGGCCAACAUGGCAAAACCCUGUCUCUACUAAAAAUACAAAAAUUAGCCAGGUGUUGUGGUGGGCACCUGUAAUCCCAGCUACUUAGGAGGCUGAGGCCUGAGAAUUGCUUGAACCCAGGAGGUGGAGGUUGCAGUGAACUGAGAUCGCGCCACUGCACUCCAGCCUGGGGGACGGAGUGAGACUGUCUCCAAAAAAUAAAAUACAAUAAAAGAGACUCCAAAGAACUUUCUAGCCCUCUUGCCACCACCUAAGGAUGCAAAGAGUUGACAGCAACCUGGAAGAGCCCUCACCAGAACUCGACCAUUCUGGCACUCUGACUUCCAGCCUCCACUGUGAGAAAUAAAUUUCUAUUGUUUAUGAGCCACUCAGCAUAUGGUACUUUGUAGCCCUAGACAGGCUAAGACAGGUAAUUAGCAAUUUUAGGUGAUUUUCAUCAUCAAAAUUUUCAUGAUGGCAUUUUGGAGAAUUCACAUAAACCACUCUGUUACCCUCCUAAAAGUAUUGCUCAAAUACUGAAUUAUAUUUAUGCUUGCCAAAGUUAAUUUUUUUCCAACAAGUAACACUAGCCACUUCAUUUUGUGCUUUUGAUACAAAAGCAUUUCCCAAUCCAGCGGCUUUCAUCUUCUGGCCUGGUUGGCAAAAGUGUAACUCACUUCUGCACCCUCUCUGAACCCUAGUCUCCUCCUCAAAUGUAAAACAGUAAUAAACCUUUCUUACCCAGGAAGCCAUUAUAAGGAUUAUAAUCAACAUAAGAUAUAAUUCUUUAAUUAUCAAAGCAGUUGCUGGCAUGUGGCAGGCAUUCAACAGAAACCGUGUUGCUAUGUUAUUUUUAUUGUUACCAUUAAUAUUCCUAUUGGGAUUGAAACCCUUAUGUCAUAUCAAAACUUUUCCAUCUUUGACAAAUGAGACAUAUUAGGAUAGUAUCUUAAUAAUAUGUAAGAGUUUAGUGCUUGAGCUAUUCAAUUAUUAAACUUUGCUUCCAAG
rnacentral:lncRNA from 1 species